AGCAUGGACAUGAAGGUCCCUGCUCAGCUCCUGGGGCUCCUGCUGCUCUGGCUCCCAGGUAUCAGAUGUGCCAUCCAGAUGACGCAGUCUCCAUCCUCCCUCUCUGCAUCUGUAGGAGACAGAGUCACCAUCACUUGCCGGGCAAGUCAGGGCAUUAGCAACUAUUUAAAUUGGUAUCAGCAGAAACCAGGGAAAGCCCCUAAGCUCCUGAUCUAUAGGGCAUCCAGUUUGGAAACAGGGGUCCCAUCAAGGUUCAGUGGAAGUGGAUCUGGGACAGAUUUUGCUCUCACCAUCAGCAGCCUGCAGCCUGAAGAUAUUGCAACAUAUUACUGUCUACAGUAUGAUAAUCUCCCUCCCACAGUGUUACAAGUCAUAACAUAA